rnacentral:rRNA from 1 species
UUUUGGACAAUGGGCGCAAGCCUGAUCCAGCCAUGCCGCGUGAGUGAAGAAGGCCUUCGGGUUGUAAAGCUCUUUCGGCAGGAACGAAAUGGUACGUGCUAAUACCACGGACUGAUGACGGUACCUGAAGAAGAAGCACCGGCUAACUACGUGCCAGCAGCCGCGGUAAUACGUAGGGUGCAGGCGUUAAUCGGAAUUACUGGGCGUAAAGCGUGCGCAGGCGGUUUCUUAAGUCAGAUGUGAAAGCCCCGGGAUUAACCUGGGAACUGCGUUUGAAACUGGGAGACUUGAGUGUGGCAGAGGGGGGUGGAAUUCCACGUGUAGCAGUGAAAUGCGUAGAUAUGUGGAGGAACACCGAUGGCGAAGGCAGCCCCCUGGGCUAACACUGACGCUCAUCACGAA